AAACUAAUCAAAUUGGGUUUGGUUUGGGUGGUAACCACUUUCAUAGUUCUAAAGAAAUGGCACACGGAAACGACAACCGAAACGACGUCGUUUAUUCUCAGUCACUAACGGAGGAAACAACCAAUACUCAAAGACAGCGAUUGGCCACCGGAACCCUAACAUACCCACCGCCGGAGCUUCCAACUCUUCCUUUUGAUCUCAUACCUGAGAUUCUAUGUAGGCUUCCGGUCAAAUUACUCAUACAACUCCGAUGCCUCUGUAAGUUCUUUGAUUCUUUGAUCUCAGAUCCCAAUUUCGCAAAGAAACACCUUCAUAUGUCAACCAAGCACCACCACCUCAUGUUAACAAAUAAUGGUAUGCUAACAGAUGAUGAUGAUUAUGAUUAUAAGUUAGUUAUGUAUGAAUCUCCAAUCGCUUCGCUUUUUUAUUGAGGUUGAAGUUGGCGAUGUGAAUUUGGUUGUUUAUGAUACCAAAACUGGCACUUCGAAUAUUCCUCAGUUUCAAAACGACUAUGAACACCUUAAGCAUGGAUUCAACUGCAACAUAUAUAUGGUCUUUUCGGAUUAGAUUCAACCUCAGUUGUAGGAGGAAUGCCUCAUUUUUUUCAAAGAAUUUGUGCUGGACUUUCUGUUUUUCAGCCAUCCUUGUCAUAAUUAGAAUGUUUAAUGUUUAAAACAACUUUGCCUCUGGAAGCCAUUGGCUCUUAAUGUACUAGAAUGACUCUUUUCAGAUACAUUGGAUUCCAUGGUUGUGUUUUUAAAAAUUGAUCAAGUAUUGAAAAUUUACAGCCAUAGUUGCAUAUGUUUUGCAUGAUACUUAAUCUAUUUAACAGAUAAAGUCUAUUUUACAA